GUGAGGAAUUUUCCGCAAUGGGCGAAAGCCUGACGGAGCAAUGCCGCGUGAAGGAUGAAGGCCUAUGGGUUGUAAACUUCUUUUCUCAGAAAAGAAUUAUGACGGUAUCUGAGGAAUAAGCAUCGGCUAACUCUGUGCCAGCAGCCGCGGUAAGACCGAGGAUGCAAGCGUUAUCCGGAAUGAUUGGGCGUAAAGCGUCUUUAGGUUGUUUAAAAAGUAUUCUGUCAAAGAUUAGGGCUUAACCCUAGAUAGGCAGAAUAAACUUUUAAGCUAGAGUGUGGUAGAGACAGAGGGAAUUCCCGGUGGAGCGGUGAAAUGCGUAGAUAUCGGGAGGAACACCAAAGGCGAAGGGACUCUGCUGGGCAAAUACUAACACUGAGAGACGAAAGCGAGGGGAGCAAAUGGGAUUAGAAACCCGUGUAGUCC
rnacentral:rRNA from 1 species